rnacentral:rRNA from 1 species
GAUGAACGCUGGCGGCGUGCCUAAUACAUGCAAGUCGAGCGAACAGACGAGGAGCUUGCUCCUCUGAUGUUAGCGGCGGACGGGUGAGUAACACGUGGAUAACCUACCUAUAAGACUGGGAUAACUUCGGGAAACCGGAGCUAAUACCGGAUAAUAUAUUGAACCGCAUGGUUCAAUAGUGAAAGACGGUUUUGCUGUCACUUAUAGAUGGAUCCGCGCCGCAUUAGCUAGUUGGUAAGGUAACGGCUUACCAAGGCAACGAUGCGUAGCCGACCUGAGAGGGUGAUCGGCCACACUGGUACUGAGACACGGCCCAGACUCCUACGGGAGGCAGCAGUGGGGAAUAUUGCACAAUGGGCGCAAGCCUGAUGCAGCGACGCCGCGUGAGGGAUGGAGGCCUUCGGGUUGUGAACCUCUUUCGCCAGUGAAGCAGGCCUGCCUCGUUUGUGGGUGGGUUGACGGUAGCUGGAUAAGAAGCGCCGGCUAACUACGUG